AUAGAGAGACUGUGCUGGCCGUUUGAAUAAGACAGCAUGUGCACGUCUCCUCGUCUUCGUUCAGUCUGUCGUAUACCCACACCUGUGCACCAAUUGUAGAUCUUUCAAUGUUAAUGUUGAUGGAAGUCCUUUAUCUCGUCCGACGAGUUAGCUUAGUUACUAGGCAGUCUUUCGAAAGAGAGGCUGGCGAAAGCAAAGCUAGAGGAUCAAAGUUGAUGUCGAUGUCGACGGGUAAAUCCCUGAUCUGAUCAAGCUUAGUUACUAGGCAGUCUUUGAAAAGAGGCUGGCGAAAGCAAGCAAGAAAGGACAGGAUAAAAGUCAAUGUCGAUGUCGAUGGUAAGUCCUUGAUCUCGUCAAGCUUAGUUACUAGGCAGUCCUUUGAAAAAGAGACUGGCGAAAGCAAGCAGGAAAAGAGGAGGAUGAAAGUUAAUGUUGAUGUAGAGGGGUAGAAUCAAAGUUAAUGUUAAUGGAAGUCCUUGAUGAGUUAGCUUAGUUACUAGGCAGUCUUUCGAAAGAGAGGCUGGCGAAAGCAAGCAAGCAGAGGAUGAAAGUUAAUGUUGAUGCUGAUGAUAUCAAUGGAUCUAUGUUUUCAUCAUCACACACUAUUGUAUGGCCAGAAUGUUUAUAAAUAAAAUACAACUUUCAGCAAUGGAUCUCUUGGUUCUCGCAUCGAUGAAGAACGCAGCGAAUUGCGAUAAGUAAUGUGAAUUGCAGAUUUCCAGUGAAUCAUCGAAUCUUUGAACGCAUCUUGCGCUCCUUGGUAUUCCGAGGAGCAUGCCUGUUUGAGUGUCAUUUAAUUAUCAACCAUCGUUCUUUAGGGAAUGAUGGCUUGGAGUUGGGGGUUGCUGGCGACGACCUGGUUGUCAGCUCUCCUUAAAAGCAUUAGCGAUCGAAUUGCUUUAUCAAGUCUUUCGACAUGCACGGCCAUUGACGUGAUAAUGAUCGUCGUGGCUGGAGUGUCUUUCCUAGACUAUGCUAGAUAGAUCGCUUCUAAUAGACAAGAUCCUUGAUCUUCAUCAAGCUUAGCUACUAGGCAGUCUUUGAAAAGAGGCUGGCGAACACAAGCUAUGGAAGUCAAUGUUGACGAAAUAU
rnacentral:rRNA from 1 species